CAAUGCUUGGGGCCCUCUCACACACUGAAGCCUAAUCCCAGUGUGAAGGCACCUGCAGGGGUUUUGGGGUGUCAUGAGGUGUAGAUGGGGUCGCGAGGGUGGAUGGGAUUAGUACCCUCAGAAGAAGAGGAAGCAGCCAGAGCCCCUCUCUCUGCUGUCAGGAUGUAGCAAGAUGGCGGCCCCAACCAGACCUCGCCUUGGUUCCCACCUUGGCCUUGGCCUUCCUGCUCUCCAGAACUGACAGAAAGGGAGGUUUGUGGUGUGAGUGAGUCAGUCUAUGCUGUUAAGCAGCCUGAACUGACGGCUAAGACAGGGUCUUCGGAAGAAUAGUAUGGGUUAUCAGUUGCGUGGCAUGCACCCACAAAAGAAAGAAGCAGAACUCCAAAAAUACUUCACAAAGCGCCUCCACAGGGAUGGUGGAUUCAAGAAAGAGUCGGUCCCUGCUCUGAAAAGGACCCAACACUGUAGCAGGAAUGACCACGUCCUGCAGGAAUGUGUGCCCAGAUGUGAAGCCACGGCUUCCGCCUGAGCAAUGGCAGCGGAGGCCACAGGAGAGGGCUGCCGAACAUGAGGCUCCUUGGAGCUCCACUUUAAGACUGUGAGGAACUGCAGCAUUGCACAUUUCUAGCUUCUGGCCUCCUCCACCCUCUGCAAUGGAUCCCCGCACCAAGCCCCGGCCCCCGGCAAAGGACAUGGCAAACCACCCAGCAAGUCGCCUCAGAGUCCUCAGCCAGGCCUGGGGGACGAGACCAACUGGCCCCUGUGGAGGACGAGCCACACUGCUUUGUAGCCGGUGGGGGAAGCCGCCUGGGCCUGGCCCUUUGCCCUGGGCUCCUGCAUGGCCCUGGCACAGCAG
rnacentral:lncRNA from 1 species